UCACGCGUGCAGGCUUGUGGAGAGCAGCUUUUGGAAGGAGCGUGGAAGCUCCAUGUCCUUUACCCGUGCCUUGCCCUGUGCUUCUCCUCCGUCUGUCUGUUCCUGAGUCAUAGCCUUUUGUAAUAAACCAGUAAUCCAACUCUUCCCUGAAAAACUCUCAUGAACAGGACUCCAGUAAUGAAAAAUAUGAGGAGCCAUAACAGAGUUUGGUCUCUUUAUAUAAUCUGCCUGAAAUCAUUUCGGAAGAGAAAGGACACAAAACCCAACAAAUUAAACGGAAACAGGAACACACUGAGCUCCCUCAGCUUCCCAGGACUCUGGGAGCUCCCUGCGAAGCACAGCUCAGUGCAAUAGGAAGAAGUAAGUGGGCAAAGGAAGACCAGCUUCCAAACAUGCCCUUCUCUAAGAGAGGCCUGAGUCAAGGGGCGUCGCUUCCCUGACCUCAGUGUAUGGAAGGUUUGCUUUCUUCGCAAAGUUCUUUGGAGCUUCCAUUUGUCCUGGUUUCCCUCACCUGCAGAAGCCAUCACAGCACCUGCCAUAAAGUUAGUGGAGAUGGCGAGGACCCCGAUGUAACAAACGUCUUAUGGGGGUGUGUAUGUAGGGCAGUGUUAGACGUUAAAAUCCGCCCACUCUACCCUGAAACCCCACUUCUCUGAGUUAACUCUGAGAAUUGCUUUCAAGACCUACUAUCAAAAUACAUGUACACACUCACGCACACAUAUAUGUACAUAGCAGUUUCAUUCAUAAUGACAAAAAGACGUGAUACAACCUCAGUAUUUAACUAUAGGGAACCAGGGUAAGCAGUUUCUCAAAUGUAAUUAAAAACAGUAAAUAUUGAGAUGAUGUGGAAACGGGAAAUAACGUAUGUAAUAAAAGCGAAACAUAAAACUUAAUUGUAAUUGUGCAUAUAGAUACAGUUAGUAUGACUCCACCGGAAUGUAAAAAGCUCAGAAUUGAACAGAAUUAUAUUUCUGAGGUAUGAUGGGUAGAAAAAUUAAAUGAUUAUACCAACAUCGAGUCAUUUGAACAUUUAAGUUCAAAACUUCAGAUAGACUUUUACUUCUGGAAGUGUGAGUGCCCACAAAUGUGUUCAAACCCUAAAUUCUUCAUCCGUGGGUUGAAUAACCAUUCAAGAAAAUGUCAAGGUAAAUUAUUGCCUCAGGAAAAACUUGGGACAACUUCUCUCACAGUUUAACAAUUUUCAGUGUUAUUUUGGCUUUAACAAGAUAAGUUUUUUUUUUUUCCAAGAGUUCUUUUGCUCAUGAUGCUUAUUCUUUACUGCGUGUCAUAAUUUUAUGUUUGUAGCAAAAUAAUCAUUUCCAUAGCAACCAACUGGGAUGUCUCAAGAAGAAAAUUAUGACUUCAGGAAAGGAAUAAACAACAGGAGAGAAUGAAUAAUGAAAAUAAUCAUGAUUCUUAUUCUCAAUAAGAAUAGAAAAAUGCUAGAAUGAGAAAAUAUGUUAUAGAUCUUUCAGAAUUAUUUCAGCCUUAAAAAAACGACUUCAGCUCAGUUUUCCAGGAGGCAGUAGUUAUUCUAGGAGGAAGGUUCCUCCUGUAUCACAGUCUACUAUGUGCCUUAAAGAAGGAUGGAGGAGGGAAGCCUAAUAAAGUCUCCAUCACACUUUAACUUACUGUUAUGUAUUGGAAAGAUAUGGGAGUUCUAAUCAUGUGGCUCAGUGGUUAAUGACGCCGA